ACGCUCGACACCUACGGGAGGCAGCAGUUGGGAAGUAUUGGACAAUGGAGGAAACUCUGAUCCAGUGACGCCGCGUGAAGGAAGAAGGUUCUUCGGAUUGUAAACUUAUUUUGUCAGGGAAGAAAAAAUGACUGUACCUGAAGAAAAAGCACCGGCUAACUACGUGCCACAGCCGCGGUAAUCUGAGCGGGCUGGCAAGGC
rnacentral:rRNA from 1 species